GAAUAUUUUUCAACCAAAAUGCUUGGAUAUGUGUCUAGGAGCAACAAAAAACGUUCCGACUUUUGAAGAGAACACAGUUUUAUAUUAAAGCGGCACGUUGGGUAACUAACUCAGCAUUGAUUUCAUGGAUUUUUUCGAUAAAAACAGGAGAAAAUUGUGGGCAACCGGAGACAAAGUUAACUUUCAUACAACAUUUUAUAAAGUAAAAAAAAUAAGCGGAAAGAAAACAAAGUUGAUCUCUAGGAAAUUUGGAAUUAUAUCUUGGAAACCAAAGUCGAUAAAUAUCCUGCCGUCGAAUGCAAAUGUGACGCUCGCUGAACGACCAAUAUAAGAGUUACAACAUUUUGUUUGGCGUUUCAAUUUUGCCUAAGUUUAAGAAUAAUUCUACCGAUGACACGGUCAGCAUAAAUUUAUAAAUCAAAAUUUAUAAAACAAAAAAUAAUUUUUUUAAUUCCCGAAUAGCAGAUUAAUUUGUUUAGAAUUAAGUUAAUUAAGUUAAAACGUCGAAAAUGGAGAGUAAGAAGCGCCUUUCCGUGAAUUUUAUUCGUCUAGUCUUUUAACCAAGAAAAAAACCUGGAAAAUAUUGCCAGACAGUUACAUAUAUCCCAGAAAAUUUAAAAUUAAAGUCAUCAAUCAAUGCCUUAUGCUUAAAUUGUGCUGAAAUUGGUGAAAUGCUUCUAUAUCAAACAUUGUCAACGCCAAAGAUUUGUAGUUGCCGAUAAGAAAAGUUCCGAUAGAAAUAAAAAAGGCAUACAUGAAAAAAAUAUCGAUUCAGAAGGAGAAAUUAUUGAUCCCCUUUGGUAGCGUCAGGAAGUGGUGCAAAUGUAAGUCGAAUUUUCCGAUGUUCAUGAAGGCGAAAAAAAACCUAAUGAAACUAUUGAACCUGCACAUUUUUGGAUGCGAAUAGGCGAGAAAUCAUUGAUUAAAACCUAACAUAUGUGUUCAUAUUUUGAUUAUAGCCUAUUAUCAUCCAAGAUUUUAUAUAAGAUCAUUAAAAAACUUCAAUAACAAAAGUAAGUAUCCAGAAAUUAAAAAAAUAAAAAACUAAGGCAUGCCGAGUUACAUUUUUAAUUAAAAAGAAGAACAAAAACUUAAAUCUCCUCAGAAGCAGAGCAUUAGUAAACAUUUUACAGAUGGUCUAUUUACUGCUUCAUUAAUAAGUCAAUCAAAAACGUUGAAAUAUAAAUCAAGCAUCGGUAAACAGAAGCACAGUUGCAGGAAAAGACGAAAAACUCACCUAGUUAUGUUGAAUCAUCAAAGCACAAUAACAAGACUUCAGUGUCUAAAUAAAUUAUUUAUCAAGAAAAAUCUGAAUAAUAAAAGAAAAAAUGUCCUAUAUAGAACAAAAUAGAAUUCAGUUACCAGAUGCCAAAAUUCAGGACUACCAGCUUUGAAUAAAAAGUGUUUUUCGAAAAAAAAAAAAAUUGGAAUCUUUUCUGAAUGUAACAUCUGUCAAAAUGGAAUAACAAUAGCGUAUAAUUCUACUUCAUUACAAUUAUUAUUAGCAAAAUGAAACUGUACUGAUACCACAAGAAAAAAAAAUUUACUAUGAAAAUCUACACUGAGAUAUUUUUCGUCAACAAAAGUAAAACAUCCUUAAAUGUCAAGUUUUAUAGUCUGAACACGCAGAAUACCUCAAUACAUUUCUGUCCUUUAUAAACGUCAAAACAUGUUUGAAGUAUCACCAAAUUGACAUUUCUUUUAAAAAUAAAAUAGAGCUAUCCACAUUGAACAACAAAUUUAAAUCAAUUUGUUUGGAUUUUAAAAAUAAAAAUAUCUACAAAUUAUGCUCAAAAUGUUCCGGAAGCCCAUUAAAACCUACAUCAUCAGAACAUACAGUUCAAUGAAUACGAAAUCCAAAGAUUUGCAGCAAAGACAAUAUUGCCUAGACUUGGAAAAACGACUUCGAAAACUAUCUUUGCACAUUGUUAUUGAAUGAAGAAGUCAGGCGACAUGCAUUUGCAAUUCGGGCAUUUAAUGUUGAAGUUGCCAAAGCUUGUUCAUCGGUAUCUGAAGAGCAUAUAGCCAAAAUGAAACUAAAAUUCUGGUUUGAUUCAAUUGAUAAAUGUUUGGAUAAAAAUGAGAAAUCUUAUGUGACAGACCAUCCUGUUCUCUACGAAAUGAAGUAUAUAUCCGAUAAUAACAAAAUAACAAAAGCCUUCCUCAAACGCUUAGUUACGGCUCGAGACCGCCCUCCAAAUCAACAGUUUAUUACCUGUAAAGACAUGGAGGAUUAUGCAGAUCAAACUGUGUCACCUAUAUACUUUCUAUUACUCGAAAUAUGCGGAGUUAAAAACUUAAAUGUAGACCACGCUGCAUCUCAUUUAGGAAAAGCUCAAGGCAUUACGAAUCUCUUGCGUGCAAUACCAUAUACCCGAAGAAGUGAAGCAUUAAACAUUCCCCAAGAAGUACUCAUUCGAAAUGGGGUUAGUCAGGAGCGUGUAUUAAGGGCAAAAGCAGAUGAUAAAGGUGUUGAAGACUGUAUAUUUGAAGUUGCAACUAUGGCUCAUCAGCAUAUAGAAAAGGCACGAAGUCUUAAAGAACACAUACCUAGAUCUGUAAGAUCUUUGUUCUUGCCAUCAAUUUCAGUAGAUCGUUACUUGGAAAGGCUAAGGAAAGCACAUUUUCUAUUAACUGACCAAAGCGUGUUGCAGCGAGAUUCAAUGCUUCCAGCGGCCCUAUAUUGGAAUAGUUUUAGACUGAAUUAUUAAAAAUAAAAAAAAGACACACUGAAAUUUCAAAAACUUCAACAAUGAACAUUAAAGUAAGCAAGGAAUAAAACUUCGUAGGUACCUACUCGGUGGCAGUCCAUCACUCUAACCACUCGGCCAUUAUAGUACACAUUAUUUACAUAUAUUCAUUAAUGAAAUCAAAAAAUUCAGCUCAAAUAGCAGAAAUGUAAAAAAAAAAAUUGUUCAAU